rnacentral:rRNA from 1 species
UUCCAGACUCCUACGGGAGGCAGCAGUGAGGAAUAUUGGUCAAUGGGCGGAAGCCUGAACCAGCCAAGUCGCGUGAGGGAAGAAGGCCCUGCGGGUCGCAGACCUCUUUGGACGGGGAGCAAGGCCGCCGACGUGUCGGCGGAAGGAGAGUACCCGUAGAACAAGCAUCGGCUAACUCCGUGCCAGCAGCCGCGGUAAUACGGAGGAUGCGAGCGUUAUCCGGAUUUAUUGGGUUUAAAGGGUGCGCAGGCGGCACGGCAAGCCGGCGGUCAAAUCGCGGGGCUCAACCCCGCCCAGCCGUCGGAACUGCAGGGCUAGAGUGGGCGAGAAGUGCGCGGAAUGCGUGGUGUAGCGGUGAAAUGCAUAGAUAUCACGCAGAACUCCGAUUGCGAAGGCAGCAUACCGGCGCCCAACUGACGCUGAAGCACGAAAGCGUGGGUAUCGAACAGGAUUAGAUACCCUUGUA